AGAGUUUGAUCAUGGCUCAGGAUGAACGCUAGCGGCAGGCUUAAUACAUGCAAGUCGAGGGGCGGCGGGGGUAGCAAUACCUGCCGGCGACCGGCAAACGGGUGCGGAACACGUACACAACCUUCCUUUAAGUGGGGGAUAGCCCAGAGAAAUUUGGAUUAAUACCCCGUAACAUUAUUGAAUGGCAUCAUUUAGUAAUUAAAGUUCCGGCGCUUAAAGAUGGGUGUGCGUCUGAUUAGGUAGUUGGUGAGGGUAACGGCCCACCAAGCCUUCGAUCAGUAACUGGUGUGAGAGCACGACCAGUCACACGGGCACUGAGACACGGGCCCGACUCCUACGGGAGGCAGCAGUAAGGAAUAUUGGUCAAUGGACGCAAGUCUGAACCAGCCAUGCCGCGUGGAGGAUGAAGGUCCUCUGGAUUGUAAACUUCUUUUAUUUGGGAAGAAAUGCAUUUUUUCUAAGAUGUUUGACGGUACCAGAUGAAUAAGCACCGGCUAACUCCGUGCCAGCAGCCGCGGUAAUACGGAGGGUGCAAGCGUUAUCCGGAUUCACUGGGUUUAAAGGGUGCGUAGGUGGGCAGUUAAGUCAGUGGUGAAAUCUCCGGGCUCAACCCGGAAACUGCCAUUGAUACUAUCUGUCUUGAAUAUCGUGGAGGUAAGCGGAAUAUGUCAUGUAGCGGUGAAAUGCUUAGAUAUGACAUAGAACACCAAUUGCGAAGGCAGCUUACUACCCGAAUAUUGACACUGAGGCACGAAAGCGUGGGGAUCAAACAGGAUUAGAUACCCUUGUAGUCC
rnacentral:rRNA from 1 species